UACGUAGGGUGCGAGCGUUAAUCGGAAUUACUGGGCGUAAAGCGUGCGCAGGCGGUGAUGUAAGACAGGUGUGAAAUCCCCGGGCUUAACCUGGGAACUGCAUUUGUGACUGCAUCGCUGGAGUGCGGCAGAGGGGGAUGGAAUUCCGCGUGUAGCAGUGAAAUGCGUAGAUAUGCGGAGGAACACCGAUGGCGAAGGCAAGCCCCUGGGCCUGCACUGACGCUCAUGCACGAAAGCGUGGGGAGCAAACAGG
rnacentral:rRNA from 1 species